UACAUUUUAGUGUAUGAUGCACAAGAAUUUUUGAUGUUCUUGGAAACAGUUUGAUUCUGUUAAAUGUAA
rnacentral:tRNA from 1 species